UUUCCUUGCCAGGAAUUUAUUCUACAGAUUUACAAGUAUGCAAGGAUUUGCGGACAAGCACAUCAAUUGCAUCGUUGUUUAUACAGUAAGACAAUGGAAACAAAUGUCCGUCAACAGAGGACCAAUUAGUAAAAUAAAUACAGCAUAGUCUAUUAAAAAGAAUGAGGUAGAUCCAUAUGCGUCGAUAUAAAAAGAUGUACAAGAUAUACUAAGUGAGAAAAGUGCAGAAGAGCCUUGUAAUACUAACCCACUUGGGGAUUUUUGAAGAAAAUUGACUACUCAUAUAUUUGCACUGGAAUAGAAAACAUCUGGAAAGAUACACACAACAAGAAACUAUGAACAGUGGUUACCACUGGGGGAUCUUUACUUUCUAUUUUACAUUUUCCUCUACUGCUUUGAAUUUAUUUUUGUGAAUAUGUAUUACUUGUAAAAAUGUAAAAGAAAAAAUUUAAAGAAGGAAUAAGGGAGCAAUGAAAGGUAACAUCAAAAAUAAAAGCAGGAAUUUACCAAACUUACUGUUAGAAGGCAAAUUCAGCAAUAGGACCUGAAGGUCAGUAAGACAUGGUGGCUGAUUGAUGGACCCUUCCUGACCCCACUGACGUGGCGACAUAAAGAUGCUGCUCUCACUCAUAAGCUCUAACUCCUUGAGACCCAGGCAGCCCUGCUGUGGGGCCCCCAAUAACAUGGCUAAGGAGGAAGAGUGGUUCCCUUCUCCACUUGAAGUAACUGCUGUGUCGUCAAGGCACAAGGACCGAAAGCACUGGCGGCCAGAGCCAUUGGCAGCAGUUUGCACCCAGCGACAGAGUCCCAGCUGCACCGAAGGGGAGAGCAGCAAGUCUGGCUCAUCUCCGUCCCAGCCAAUAACAGGAUGGAUCUUCAGCUUGGUUGCCACUAAGUCUCGGCACAGUGGAGGUGAUGGCAGAGCUGCAGGGAUCCAGCAACAGCAGAAGGAAGCAGUCAUCAGGAAUGGGUCAGGAACACAUCCGGGCAACGCAAGCCUGGAGAAUCCCAGAAACACUUGAGGAAAACCUCCCAGAGUGUCUGAGUGAGUCCUUGGGCAUUCUAAGCUAAUGAUGUUCAGGAUCGGAAUUCGGAAUCUUCUUUCCGAAGAGCUUUCUCCACCCAGGAUGCCACUGGGAGGGUGGCAGAGGUGAAGCGGGCGGGGAGGCCAGGGCCUCUCUAGGAGGAGGCCAAGGAGGCCGCGUGCGGCCGGGGGCCCCCGGCCCCGGGGCGGCAGCCCAGCGCCCAGCAGUCCUGGCGGAAGCGGCGCACGGAGAAGCAGUAGAUGAGCGGGUCCAGGCAGCUGUUGAGGCUCAGCAGCGCCAGGCUGAGGGUGUGCAGGACGUCGAGCGUGGAGGCGGCCCGGCACCCGCCGCCGUCGCCGUCCGCGGCGCCCUCCUGCCCGGCCACCCAGGGCGCCAGCAGCAAGUGGUAGGGCGCCAGGCAGAGGGCGAAGACGAGCAGGAGGCCCAGCACCAUGGUCCUGGCG
rnacentral:lncRNA from 1 species